GAUGAACGCUGGCGGCGUGCCUAACACAUGCAAGUCGAGCGGACGGAGGGGGAGCUUGCUUCGCUUCUGCGAGCGGCGGACGGGUGAGUAACACGUGGAUACCUGGCCGAGAGGGCUGACAUACCGACGGGAAAGCUAAGCCAGCACCCGUCAUGAGUGUGAACCGCAGGGUUCAUCAGAGAUAGACGGUCCUGCUGUCACUUAGAGAGGGUUGCGCGCUGCAUUAGCUAGUUGGUAAGGUAACGGCGUACCAAGGCGAGGAUGCGUAGCCGAUCUGAGAGGGUGAUCAGCCACACUGGAACUGAGACACGGUCCAGACUCCUACGGGAGGCAGCAGUGGGGAAUAUUCCGCAAUGGGCGAAAGCCUGAUCCAGCAACGCCGCGUGAGUGAUGAAGGUCUUCGGAUUGUAAAACUCUGUAAGUAGGGAGGAAGGUAAGUGUGUGUAAAUGUGCCCAUCUUGACGGUACCUACUGAAUAAGCACCGGCUAACUACGUG
rnacentral:rRNA from 1 species